rnacentral:rRNA from 1 species
UUCGGGGUACUCGAGCGGCGAACGGGUGAGUAACACGUGAGCAACCUGCCCCAGGCUUUGGGAUAACCCCGGGAAACCGGGGCUAAUACCGGAUAUGACCUUGCACCGCAUGGUGUUUGGUGGAAAGUUUUUCGGCUUGGGAUGGGCUCGCGGCCUAUCAGCUUGUUGGUGGGGUGAUGGCCUACCAAGGCGACGACGGGUAGCCGGCCUGAGAGGGCGACCGGCCACACUGGGACUGAGACACGGCCCAGACUCCUACGGGAGGCAGCAGUGGGGAAUAUUGCACAAUGGGCGGAAGCCUGAUGCAGCGACGCCGCGUGAGGGAUGACGGCCUUCGGGUUGUAAACCUCUUUCAGCAGGGACGAAGCGUAAGUGACGGUACCUGCAGAAGAAGCGCCGGCCAACUACGUGCCAGCAGCCGCGGUAAGACGUAGGGCGCGAGCGUUGUCCGGAUUUAUUGGGCGUAAAGAGCUCGUAGGCGGCUUGUCGCGUCGACCGUGAAAACCUGGGGCUCAACCCCAGGCCUGCGGUCGAUACGGGCAGGCUAGAGUUCGGUAGGGGAGACUGGAAUUCCUGGUGUAGCGGUGAAAUGCGCAGAUAUCAGGAGGAACACCGGUGGCGAAGGCGGG